GCCGAGUAUACUGGCGAACGGGUGAGUAACGCGUAGGUAACUUGCCUAUCAGUCUGGGAUAACACUGCUAACGCGGUGCUAAUACCGGGUAUACUGCAUAGAUCGCAUGUUUUUUGCAGGAAAGCGGGCCUCUGGAACAAGCUCGUGCUGAUAGAUAGACCUGCGUCCCAUUAGUUAGUUGGUAGGGUAACGGCCUACCAAGGCAGCGAUGGGUAGCCGGCCUGAGAGGGUGACCGGCCACACUGGGACUGAGAUACGGCCCAGACUCCUACGGGGGGCAGCAGUGAGGAAUAUUGCGCAAUGGACGAAAGUCUGACGCAGCAACGCCGCGUGAGGGAUGAAGCUUUUCGGAGUGUAAACCUCUGUUAGGAGGGAAGAACGUCUAUUAUUCGAACAGGGUGAUAGAGUGACGGUACCUCCAGAGAAAGCCCCGGCUAACUCCGUGCCAGCAGCCGCGGUAAUACGGGGGGGGCGAACGUUGUCCGGAAUUAUUGGGCGUAAAGGGCGCGUAGGCGGGAAGGUCAGUCAGAGGUGAAAGCUUGUGGCUUAACUGCAAGUUUGCCUUUGAUACUGCCAUUCUUGAGUUCGGAAGAGGGAAGUGGAAUUCCUGGUGUAGCGGUGAAAUGCGUAGAUAUCAGGAAGAACACCGGUGGCGAAGGCGGCUUCCUGGUCCGAUACUGACGCUGAUGCGCGAAAGCCGUGGGGAGCAAACCAGGAUUAGAUACCCUGGUAGUCCAACGCUGUAAACGAUGGGUACUAGGUGUUGGG
rnacentral:rRNA from 1 species